GACGAACGCUGGCGGCGUGCUUAACACAUGCAAGUCGAACGGAGUGGCGCACGGGUGAGUAACACGUGGGUGAUCUGCCCUGCACUUCGGGAUAAGCUUCGGAAACUGGGUCUAAUACCGGCUAGUCCUAGAUGAGCUCGCGGCCUAUCAGCUUGUUGGUGGGGUAAUGGCCCACCGCGGCGCCGCCGGGUCGCCGGCCUGUGAGGGUGUACGGGCACAUGGGGACUGAGAUACGGGCCAGACUCCUACGGGGCGCAGCAGUGGGGAAUAUUGCACAAUGGGCGGAAGCCUGAGGCGGCGGCGCCGCGUGGGGGAUGAAGUCCUUCGGGUUGUAAACUCCUUUCGACAGGGACCCGGUACCUGUAUAAGAAGCACCGGCUAACUACGUGCCAGCAGCCGCGGUAAUUC
rnacentral:rRNA from 1 species